UGGUUCUGGAUCAGAGGACCCGGGUGCGGCUGGUUCCGGACCCGGUCCGUCCUGCUCGGCUCUGGAACAAACUGAGGAACUUCCCGGACAGUCAGAGACUCGCUGCUGCAGUGGGUCCUCCCGGAGAGGCGGGGCUAGGAAGUCCUGCCAGUAGAGAUCUGCAGUAGUCUCAGAGUGACGUCAGAGGGCCUGGACCAGGACCUGUACUCUGUGGAUCACUCCGUCAGGUCUGGACCAGGAGUGUGUGGAUCACUCAGUCAGGUCUGGACCAGGACUCUGUGGAUCGCUCCUUCAGGUCUGGACCAGGACUCUGUGGAUCGCUCCUUCAGGUCUGGACCAGGAUUGUGUGGAUCGCUCCGUCAGGUCUGAUCUUCUUGAUGUUGAACAGGGAGAAUCGACUGUUCGGACAUUUGUGGUCACAUAAACCUUGAAGGUGGACCCGCAGCUCCGCAGUAUCCCAUCAUGCCUCUGGGUUUCUGGCCGGGGGCCUCGGGGGCCCCUGGGGGCCUCCUGGCAGCCGGCCAGUGACCUGCAGGACGACGAGUCGCCCAGAGAGACGAGCGACACGGAACGGGGACCAAGACACUAGAGGACACUGAGACACUGUCAGACAGAGCUGAAGGACGAGAGUUUAAUUACACCAUUCACCUGUCCAUCACACACACUGAGACA